rnacentral:rRNA from 1 species
AGUAACACGUGGGUAACCUGCCCGGAAGUGGGGAAUACCUCGGGGAAACUCGAGCUAAUACCGCAUGACAUCUUCGGGACGAAAGUCCUGACGAUCAAAGCGGGGUCGCAAGAUCUCGCGCUACCGGAUGGGCCCGCGCCCGAUUAGCUAGUUGGUGAGGUAACGGCUCACCAAGGCUUCGAUCGGUAACCGGCCUGAGAGGGCGAUCGGUCACACCGAACUGAGACACGGUCCGG